AUAUUUUCUUCAAAUUGGUGUUUUCUUUACUUCACAUGCUCAUAUUGAGAUAUAAUAGGUUGGAAGAAUAAAUGCAAUUUGAAACUGUAUAAGAAGAUAAUUAGUCAGCGAAACCAUUUUUUUUCUUCCUGUUUCAAGAACAGAUAUUCUGGCAAAGUCUGAGGACAUCAAUCAAGAAUCAGAUAAUCGUUGUGUUCCAAAGAUUGGGUCUGCUUCACUGUUGACAGAUGUCAACACCUUAAAAUAACAACAUUGCCACAAAUUUGCCCAGAAAGCAUAUUCUUCAAGACUUCCUUCAAGUAACAAAAUUUAUCCAUAGCAUUCCACAUGCAUAAAUUUGAUGUACAAAAGUAAGACAGACUCCUUCACUAUGGACUGAGUCACAUCAACUGCACAGAACAUAGUGAGGAAAGACCUCAUGAGGUCAGAGCUAGAAGGUGGCCAGCUGUGUACAAGCUAGGAAGAGAGCCCUCACCAGAAAUCGAAUCAGCCAGCACCUUGACCUUGACUGCCAGCCUCCAGAACUGUGAGAAGAUGAAUUUC